rnacentral:rRNA from 1 species
AGUGAACGCUGGCGGUAGGCCUAACACAUGCAAGUCGAACGGCAGCACAGUAAGAGCUUGCUCUUACGGGUGGCGAGUGGCGACGGGUGAGGAAUACAUCGGAAUCUACUUUUUCGUGGGGGAUAACGUAGGGAAACUUACGCUAAUACCGCAUACGACCUACGGGUGAAAGCAGGGGAUCUUCGGACCUUGCGCGAUUGAAUGAGCCGAUGUCGGAUUAGCUAGUUGGCGGGGUAAAGGCCCACCAAGGCGACGAUCCGUAGCUGGUCUGAGAGGAUGAUCGGCCACACUGGAACUGAGACACGGUCCAGACUCCUACGGGAGGCAGCAGUGGGGAAUAUUGGACAAUGGGCGCAAGCCUGAUCCAGCCAUACCGCGUGGGUGAAGAAGGCCUUCGGGUUGUAAAGCCCUUUUGUUGGGAAAGAAAAGCAGCAGGUUAAUACCCCGCUGUUCUGACGGUACCCAAAGAAUAAGCACCGGCUAACUUCGUG